rnacentral:rRNA from 1 species
GAUGAACGCUAGCGGGAGGCCUAACACAUGCAAGUCGAACGGGAUUGGGAGCUUGCUCCCAUGAGAGUGGCGCACGGGUGAGUAACGCGUAUGCAACCUACCUUUAACUGAGGGAUAGCCCAUAGAAAUGUGGAUUAAUACCUCAUAGUUCUUUUGUCCCGCAUGGGAUGAUAGAUAAAGCUCCGGCGGUUAAAGAUGGGCAUGCGUGACAUUAGCUAGUUGGUAAGGUAACGGCUUACCAAGGCUACGAUGUCUAGGGGUUCUGAGAGGAUGAUCCCC